rnacentral:rRNA from 1 species
CCAGACUCCUACGGGAGGCAGCAGUGGGGGAUAUUGCACAAUGGGGGGAACCCUGAUGCAGCGACGCCGCGUGGGUGAAGGAGCGUUUCGGCGCGUAAAGCCCUAUCGGCAGGGAAGAAGGAGGACGGUACCUGACUAAGGAGCCCCGGCUAACUACGUGCCAGCAGCCGCGGUAAUACGUAGGAUGCGAGCGUUAUCCGGAUUUAUUGGGUUUAAAGGGUGCGCAGGCGGCGUGUCAAGUCAGCGGUAAAAUGUCGGGGCUCAACCCCGGCCGGCCGUUGAAACUGAUGUGCUCGAGUUGGAGAGAAGUAUGCGGAAUUCGUGGUGUAGCGGUGAAAUGCAUAGAUAUCACGCAGAACCCCGAUUGCGAAGGCAGCAUGCCGGCUUCCGACUGACGCUGGAGCACGAAAGCGUGGGGAUCGAACAGGAUUAGAUACCCUUGUAA